rnacentral:rRNA from 1 species
UACGUAGGGGGCAAGCGUUGUCCGGAAUUACUGGGCGUAAAGGGCGCGUAGGCGGUUUGCUAAGUUGGAUGUGAAAACUCUGGGCUUAACCCAGAGCCUGCAUCCAAAACUAGCAAGCUAGAGUUCUGGAGGGGAUAGCGGAAUUCCUGGUGUAGCGGUGAAAUGCGUAGAUAUCAGGAGGAACACCGGUGGCGAAGGCGGCUAUCUGGACAGGAACUGACGCUGAGGCGCGAAAGCUAGGGGAGCAAACAGG